rnacentral:lncRNA from 1 species
AUUCUCUCAAGCAUAUGAAUGCUGUAGACAGUUGAAUAGGAACCAUACGAAUAGGUUUACUCUCCUAGCAGUCAAACUGGAACAGCAUACAAUAAAUCCUUCCCCCAACAAUGAGACGACACUUCACUUUGAGGGUUAAAACAGGAACUCCCUGUACUGUCACAUACAGUCUCUUUUAUUCCCAAUCCACAAACAUAGUACAGCCCACAGCGCGUUACAAAACAGCCAAUCAAUCCAUACAAUACACCCAGACACUCCCACACAAAAUCCUCCCCUCUGGCUGUGAUAUGAUUACUGAACACAAUGGGUAAUCUAAUUAUCACAGCCAGAGAAAUACAGUUUCAUAAAACACAUCACAG